rnacentral:rRNA from 1 species
UACAGAGGGUGCGAGCGUUGUCCGGAAUCACUGGGCUUAAAGCGUGUGUAGGCGGAUGCCUAAGUACCUUGUGAAAUCCCCCGGCUUAACCGGGGAACUGCUUGGUAUACUGGGUGUCUUGAGCCACUUAGGGGCGACCGGAACAAACGGUGGAGCGGUGAAAUGCGUAGAUAUCGUUUGGAACGCCAAUGGUGAAAACAGGUCGCUGGGAGUGUGCUGACGCUGAGACACGAAAGCCAGGGGAGCGAACGGG